CCCCUCUGAGCUCUACUGGGAAAACAAGCGGGGCCCUGACAGCCCCUCCCUGGGCAUGCAUUGCACCCCCUCUUUUGACGAAGGGUGCCUUGAAGCUCAGAAGGGGCAGCACAAGCGACUCUGGCCAGCCUCCAGUCCGGUGGCAGGAUUUUGCCAACCCUGUAAAUCAGUCAGGAGUUUAGCCUCUCCUUUAAAAAAAGUGGGGGGGGGAGCUUAGGCUUUCUCCUGUUGGGUGAAGGCCUGUCUCAAGGCUCCUUUUUGGAGAUCCCCCGUGGGGCGAGUUUUCUAGCAGGGAAAGGCCCAACAGAUGGUUGCUGAACCUCGGAGCCAGAAGCGGCCACGACGAACCUGCACCGAGUACUGAGAGUGGCUGGUGGGGCUGGUGGGCCUCUUGCUAAGGAAGGGCCCUCUGCAAUCCUGCCCCCCCUGCAGCUUCCUUGGCUUUGAGCUCUUGUCUGCUCAGCUGCUGACUCUCCUCCCAGUAGAGAAGAUGACUAAUGACAGAGAAAGGCCCAUCCUUACCUUUGGAGAUACCAGAUCUUCCUGGAGCUGCUGAGGCCUCUUUCCAAACUGGAUAAGCUUAAAGAGCGGGGGGGAAAAUAAGGCAAAACUGUGGAUCACCAACACAUGUUGGUCUUGCUCCAACAGCAACUUAGCCGAGUGGAGAGGGAUUAGUGUGCUGUGGAAACACUACAAAGAGGAUCAGUUGACUGAGUCAACUAACUCCAACGGGGUUGCAUUUGGCUCAAGUAGGCCCAGCCCUGUGGAAGAUCAACGCCCCCACCCCAUUAAUUGUGUCAUAGAGAAAUCGACUUCCAGCCAGCUGCCCCACUUCGCCUCCAAGGAAAAGAGGGAAAGGCUCCUUCAGAAGGAAGCCGACCCGACUCCCUGCCAGAGCCUGAAAAUCAAGAAUAUCCCUCCCCAAAUACUUACUGGCUGCUGGAAGCAAGCUUGGGUCAGGGGUGGGGUGGGGGUACUAGAAGCAGGCCCAGCCAUUUCCUGCAAAAAAUGGGUGGUCUUCAGGGAUUGGGGGGUUUCACCCAGUUAGGGAAGUGGAGCCUGGCAAACCCCCCGGGGGUGGAGAUGUGGCUGGACUGGUGGCUGAACCAGGUGUGGAGCAGAAAAAGGAAAGGAUAAACAACCUGCUAACCAAAAGCAGUAAGACUGGGCCGUAUAAAUUGGGUACUGGGGCUUCUUUUUGGGGGGGGGAGGGUUGCUUUGAUCUUGUAAGCUGCCCAGAGUCCCUUGAGUGAGAGGAACACCAUCCUGCAGCCACGUUGCCCCCAGAGAUCUGGGGAUGCACAAAGGGGCAGCUGCUUCCCAGCGACUGGAGGCUCUGGGCUGGGCCCGCAUUGUUCCACCUUCUUGGCACCUGAAGCAAUCCAGGUUGAAGGUAAUUUGAACCAGCGUUUGCCGGAGAAUUUCUCCCAUCCGAGACCUGACAUCUUUUUGGCAGGCUUGUCAGAGAGAAAAUCCGUGGCGCUCUGAAUUGCAGAAGGGCUGCUUGUGACGGGCAUCGCCCACGAACCCACCUCUCCCAGCCUCUCUGCCUAGAAACAGGCAGACAAUUGGAAGCCGUCUCCCUUUUCGAUGGCCUCGGCCCUUGGAGAUACUAAUUGGCUCAACUGAGCAAAACUCCUGCCGAGAGAGACAAAUCGCUUGGUAGCUUUUGCUCAGUGCACAGGUGGUUUCUGCAAGCAGGCCGGCUGGGGCCAAACAGCUGCAGUGAGGUGCCUUCCAGCAGAUGGGCAGCUCAAAAACAACAGCUGCUUUCCUUGGAGGAGGAAGUUGCAAAAUACCUGAAAGCAGGAAUUGGCAGAAUCCCAGGUUUCGUCCAGAUGACAAGAGAUUUACCUGUGCAUGAAGCAUUGGGAGCCGCCCUUUUGCCCAAAAGAGACUUAACCGCAUGGAGUAGAAUAGACAAUAGCCAGGGGUCAAAUGAGCUAAAACCAUCCAGGCCCCCACAAGGACACGGGAAGCCCAGGGCCACUUUGAGCCUCGGUGGCUAAGAAGUGCAAAGCAUUCCCUCAGGUGCCUUUCGUUGCAAACCACAGCGUGACGAACGUAACUUUGUUUUAAUAUGGAGUACGGAACCGGAGGUGCAGGGAGGAGCAGGAUGAGGCCCAUUGAACACUUCGCCCAAGUGACCCAAACUGGGCAUGAGCUCCUGACCAACCUUUGUGGGAGAAACAUGGCCGUCUAGAUUUUAAGUCCUCUGCUCAUUCCAUACUUAGUUCCUUCGGCUGAAAGUUGUUCCGUUUAUAAUCCUGAAGUCAAGCAUAAAUCUCUGAACAAAAGUACUGGAUUUUUUUUUUUGAAAUAAUUUUUAUUAAACAGUUCUUUUUAAAAAAAACCAAAAAGAAAUAUUAACACUUUCUUCUUUUCAACAGUUUCACAUCAGUAAUCAAUCCUUAUAUAUUUUCUCUCUCUUAUUCUAGUCUACCUUUUAUACAUAUAUUUCUAAUAUAUCUCAUAUAUAUAUUAUUUUAUUUUAUUUACAUAUAUACUUAGACAUAAACAUGUACCCAAUUUCCUUUCCACAAUUUUUGUUUCUUUCUAUUUGUUCUUAUAUUUCUACUCCUAAUUUAACUUAUUUAAUCUUUCCUUGUCUUUCCCCCCCCCCUUUUCCUCCAACCAUUUAUACCAUCUCUGGAUUUAUUUGCAUCCAUGGGUGAUUAGAUUUCACCUGCGUGGAAGCAUUCUUACAAUCUGUUGCCACUCCUAAUAAAAUAGGAUAGAAUAGAAUAAAAUUCUUUAUUGGCCAAGUGUGAUUGGACACACAAGGAAUUUAUCUUGGUGCAUUUGCUCUCAGUGUACAUAAAAGAAAAGAUACCUUCAUCAAGGUACAACACUUACAACACUUAAUGAUAGUCAUAGGGUGCAAAUUUAACACUUAAUGAUACAACACUUAAUGAUAGGCAUAGGCUACAAUUAAGCAAUCAGGAAACAAUCAAUUACAGUAUAAAUCGUAAGGAUACAAGCAACAAAGUUACAGUCAUGAAUGGAAGCAGAUGGGAGAUGGGAACGAUGAGAAGAUUAAUAGUAGUGCAGAUUUAGUCAAUAGUUUGACAAGUGUUGAGGGAAUUAUUUGUUUAGCAGAGUGAUGGCAUUCGGGGAAAAACUCUUCUUGUGUCUAGUUGUUCUGGGUGCAGUGCUCUAUAGUAUCGUUUUAAGGGUAGGUGUUGAAACUGUUUAUGUCCAGGAUGUGAGGGGUCUAUAAAUAUUUUCACAGCCCUCUUUUUGACUUGGGCAGUAUACAAGAGCUUGGAAGCACAUUCUGUUUCUACUUGGAGCAUCCCACUGCCCGUGUUUUAAGGGAGGAGCGGGGGGGGGGGGGUGAGAGGCGGCUGGUAACUCAGGCUGGCCUGGUUCUUCCUCCGGCAUUGAAGGCUGCUGGAGGAUCAACUAUUCUUGCAACGAUCGCAAUUUAUCCACUCUUUGGAUCCGUGGCCCAGCGAUGACAACAUUAUUUCUCCACUCUGGGCUGCAGCUGGAGGCCCCCGAUGAAUCCAGCUGCAGCUCCAGGGUAGUGGACGGUGGCGUGAAAUUUCCCUGCCUCUCCAACAUGCCCAGGUUUCUUUUCAACCUUAACAACAUGUGUCACCACAUUUCACAAUGAAUUUAGCUGUCAUUCAUGUUUCAUUAGGGUAAGUGCCUUAAAAACAGAUUAGAGACUCAGCUAAUUUACUCAUUAGUAAAAGGAAAUUAGCCAUUUGAGAUCUACUCUAAUAAAAUUAGCCGGGUGACAAAUGCUUUGUUGCUGUGUUUAUUAGAUUACCAUGCCUGCUGCAUUUUAAAGGCAUCACUAAGCCUUCGGCAGCCAUUGCCAAGACCAUUCUCCCCCUUUUGAUAUCUACUUCU